GGCUCAGGAUGAACGCUAGCUACAGGCUUAACACAUGCGAGUCGAGGGGAAACGACAUCGAAAGCUUGCUUUUGAUGGGCGUCGACCGGCGCACGGGUGAGUAACGCGUAUCCAACCUGCCCACCACUUGGGGAUAACCUUGCGAAAGUAAGACUAAUACCCAAUGAUAUCUCUAGAAGGCAUCUGAAGGAGAUUAAAGAUUUAUCGGUGAUGGAUGGGGAUGCGUCUGAUUAGCUUGUUGGCGGGGUAACGGCCCACCAAGGCGACGAUCAGUAGGGGUUCUGAGAGGAAGGUCCCCCACAUUGGAACUGAGACACGGUCCAAACUCCUACGGGAGGCAGCAGUGAGGAAUAUUGGUCAAUGGGCGAGAGCCUGAACCAGCCAAGUAGCGUGCAGGAUGACGGCCCUAUGGGUUGUAAACUGCUUUUAUAAGGGAAUAAAGUGAGCCUCGUGAGGCUUUUUGCAUGUACCUUAUGAAUAAGGACCGGCUAAUUCCGUGCCAGCAGCCGCGGUAAUACGGAAGGUCCGGGCGUUAUCCGGAUUUAUUGGGUUUAAAGGGAGCGUAGGCCGGAGAUUAAGCGUGUUGUGAAAUGUAGACGCUCAACGUCUGCACUGCAGCGCGAACUGGUUUCCUUGAGUACGCACAAAGUGGACGGAAUUCGUGGUGUAGCGGUGAAAUGCUUAGAUAUCACGAAGAACUCCGAUUGCGAAGGCAGCUCACUGGAGCGCAACUGACGCUGAAGCUCGAAAGUGCGGGUAUCGAACAGGAUUAGAUACCCUGGUAGUCCGCACGGUAAACGAUGGAUGCCCGCUGUUGGUCUGAAUAGGCCAGCGGC
rnacentral:rRNA from 1 species